GCCGCUAUGGUGAAAUUGGUAGACACGCUGCUCUUAGGAGGCAGUGCUAGCGCAUCUCGGUUCAAGUCCGAGUAGCGGCA
rnacentral:tRNA from 3 species